GUAGGUGGCAAGCGUUGUCCGGGAAUUAUUGGGGGCGUAAAGCGCGCGCAGGCGGUUCUUUAAGUCUGAUGUGAAAGCCCACGGGCUCAACCGUGGAGGGUCAUUGGAAACUGGAGAACUUGAGUACAGAAGAGGAAAGCGGAAUUCCACGUGUAGCGGUGAAAUGCGUAGAGAUGUGGAGGAACACCAGUGGCGAAGGCGGCUUUCUGGUCUGUAACUGACGCUGAGGCGCGAAAGCGUGGGGAGCAAACAGGAUUAGAUACCCUGGUAGUCCACGCCGUAAACGAUGAGUGCUAAGUGUUAGGGGGUUUCCGCCCCUUAGUGCUGCAGCUAACGCAAUAAGCACUCCGCCUGGGGAGUACGGCCGCAAAGGCUGA
rnacentral:rRNA from 1 species